CGAAACCCUAAUGUUAAAUCAAACCCUAUUUAGCGGCUGUACUAUUUUGUUCAUAACCUCAUCUACAUAGCAGUUCCCACACUAUUCAACAGUAACUGCUUAGUGUUUCCAUAAUCACCUUCCACCCUUCAUUGUUGUUACCCUCUUUUUCACGUUGCCUUUAAUUUCUAUGUUUUACUUGUCCAUUGUAUUCAUUUAUCUAUUGUUUUUCUUUCUGAUUUCUUUAUUUGUGUUCUUGUUUUAUUUAUUGAGUUGGGGUUGGUUUGCAAGUGAAUGAUGAUAAUGCACUGGGCUCUGAGCAAUUUUUUGAUUGCACUAUUAUUGAUGGAUAUGUGUGGCCUAGAAAACCAUGUCUGACAC